UACGGAGGGUGCAAGCGUUAUCCGGAUUCACUGGGUUUAAAGGGUGCGUAGGUGGGUAUGUAAGUCAGUGGUGAAAUCCCCGAGCUUAACUUGGGAACUGCCGUUGAUACUAUAUAUCUUGAAUAUCGCGUAGGUAAGCGGAAUAUGUCAUGUAGCGGUGAAAUGCUUAGAUAUGACAUAGAACACCAAUUGCGAAGGCAGCUUACUUCACGAUCAUUGACACUGAGGCACGAAAGCGUGGGGAGCAAACAGG
rnacentral:rRNA from 1 species